rnacentral:lncRNA from 1 species
UGAGUCGAAGUUUAUCCAUUCCUUUUACCUUCGGGAUAAAAGCGAUAUCUGUGGGCCCCUCGAUGAUUUGAUGAUGACAAAUGGAAGUGCUCGGCCGGGCCAGGACUGAUUUGAUUUGUUCAAUUAGUCAGUCGUCAUAAAUCGGAAAUCGGGAAACAACAAAUGGACAGAGAGAAUGAUUAUAAUCCAUGUCUCAGUCCAUAUGAUAUCUAGAAUGGAGGAAUAUAUGAUCCCUUAUCUAAUGGACAAGUCAUUGACAAAGGUCAGAGUUCAUCUACAAGGUCAGAGUUCGACAGAAGCUUUUGAGAGCUACGAUUGCCAGUUGGUUCCUGAAGUCAUACGCAAUAAUAGUUUUAGACUUAUCCAAGUGGGAGACUGUUGGAUUAAUGUCUAAGUCCAUAACUAUAAUUGGUAAGACUUGACCCGACCCGGCAUGGUCCAUUUGGGUUGCAUACCAUCAUGCACUUGGAUAGACUAUAAUGAGAGAAAUAAGACACUUAUGGUUAUUAAUAUAUUAUAAGUUCUAGUAUAUUAAUAAUAAGAAUAAUAAGAUUAUUUAAUUAGUAUUGAUCAAGAAUUAAUCUAGGAUUAAUUAAGUGAUCAAAAGAAGACUAAUUAAAUAUAUGGGUUGAUUGUGUAAAUCAUCCAUACUUGUAUAGUGGGCUAAUGCUCCAUGGAUAAUCAAGUUGGGCUAAAACCCAUAGGAUGGUCCAUGGAUGCUCCAUGGUGUAUUUGUACCCAUGGAUCCAAGGAAAUGGAAAGCCAUGACAAUUAAGAGUUUACCCUAAUUGUGUAACUAUAUAAGCAUCUUAUUAUUGAGGAAAAAUCGGCCACUAGUGAUAGUGAAGAAAGGGCUAGCCGAUUUUGAAGAGUGUAGAAUUCUCUCAAGUCAUUCCAAGUGUUUUGAUGAUUGUGAUUCCAUUUGAGGUGUCACACUUGGGGCACUAGGCACUCAAGCUUCAUGAAGACUUUCUACAUCAAAGAGGUAUGUAUUCUAUCUUGUUAUAGUCAUUGUUUUGUAUGCUAGAUUAGGAUAAUACCUUGGAAGUUCUUAUUUGCAUGUAUAAUAGAGAAAACAUAGAUCCAAGGUAUUUAGGGUUGCAUGUACACUUAGGAGUGUUAGAAUGCUCAAAACCCAACAGUGGUAUCAGAGCCUAGGCUUGUUUUCUUGUUAUACCUGCAAUAGAAGCUGAAAAAACGAAUCUGGUGCUGUCUGGCCAUCAGACUCGGCGAGUCCAUCAGGAGACUCGACGAGUCCAUGCCUAAAAAGUGAUGAAUUCGAUCCAACUCGCCGAGUUUGUUCAUGCACUCGACGAGUUGGACCCCCAGACAGCAUAUUUUCGAGUUUUUUGGCUAGAAAUGGACUAGGAACAUUACCCUAAGUUGUUUUUGAACUUAUAAACUUGUUUUUGAUGUGGUAAUGUUCAUGCUAAUCCAUUUUCAAAGAUAAUUGUCAAUAGAUUCAUGUUUUGUAUUAGUUUAAGGUUUAGACUAAUUACAUGAAAAAGUUUGAUUUGAAUUAUCUUGUUCUUAUGAGUUGCUUAGAUUAAUAGAAAUGUUGAGUGAAAUAGUUGUUUUCAAUCCAUUUUAAUCUAAGAGUUGAGUAUAAAAUGUGUUUGUGUAACUUGUCCUCAAGUUACAUGAAGAGUCACAUUAAAGACUCAUAAAACUCAUAAAAGUUGGCAAUGGUUACAAAAUGAAGAGUCUUGUGUCAUUGAAUAAUUUUUUUUGACUCCAUAACUUGUCCUCAAGUUAUGGAAGUUCAAGAGUCACUUCAUUAAAGAAAAAUAUGUAACCAUAAUUAAAUCCAUAAGUUAUAAAAUAAAGAAAAAGUUAGUUCUUUUAUUAGUUUAAAGUCUUCCAUAACUUGUCCUCAAGUUAUGGAACUUGAAGAGUUUUUGGAUUAAAACUACUUUAAACACAUAAGUUAUGGAAUUAAUUAGUUUUGAAUAGUUUCAAAACUUGCCCUCAAGUUUUGGAAUUUGAAAAGUUUUCAAGUAUGAAUACUUUAAUUCCAAGUUAGCCCUUAGAAUUUUAAAAGUUAAAAUUCAACCCUUAUACUUUAUAAUAUUAUAAGUUAAUAAUAUAUAUAUGUAUAAGAGUAAAGUCAGUCUUACCGCUAGUACGCCUCAUUCACGAAGCCGGUCUAUAAGGUGGGUAUAAGGUUGUUGCCUAUAAAAUGGCAACUUAAUGGGUGUCCACUCUCACCCACCGCUUGCUUGACUGGUGGAGGGUCGUUAGCCGAACGGGUUUGACAGGACUAGAAUUCUCCCUUCAUUAAAAGUAUUAAUGAUAAUACUAAGUAACUAAACUCUUAAUAAUACCCAAUCUUAGUUACUUAGGAAAAAUGUGAAUAAGGUGCUAAUCCAUGAAAUUACACUUUACACUUUGUCUAAGUCGUUAGUGGAGCGUGUGUGGUUAACCGGCACACUAACUUGGACUUAACAAGGUAGGUAAAGGGUGACUUAAUAUUUAUCAUAGUAUCGAUGGAGCGUGUGUGGUUAACCGGCACAUCGAUUGAGGGGUAAUUUAUUAAGGGUACCAAGUGAUUUGCAUGGUUACUUCACACCUUGUUUUGUGAUCCUCGGCAUCCCAGUCACAAAACCUGAAGGGCACACUCGAGAUUGAAACAUGCCUUUGAAAAGUUCAAUGAAUCUCAAAGAUCUAGGAGUUUCAAAACCAAUUAAAACCUAAUAAUACAUUUCGUUUAUCUUGGUGGAAAUUGGUGAAUCGUCAUUCACCUACCUUCAAAUAUUUUAUAGCUUGGAUUACGGCAUACCUCUUCUAAGUUAUAAAAUAGUUUGUUGGGUCCUAGCCUUAAUAUUUCAUAUUGGGUGUCAUAUUAAGGACUUUAAAUCAACUAUCUUGAAUAUCUCCCAAAAGAUGUCUGGUUUAGACACCUAUGAUCUUCCCAAAUCUCUUGAAACAAGGUUUCCUAAUGAAGAUGAUGUCCCAUGGAUAUCAUACUUCUUCACCUCUUCAAAUUAUUCUCCCUAACCCACAAGUUCUUGAAAAGUUUAAGGUCACUCAGGCCCUAUUAGCAAGGCAAGGUCUAGGUGUGGUCACAUCUUGGAGAUGUAGUCACAUAUUGACAAGCCGGGAGAGUUGGGUGUCAAAGUCUUGAGAAAGUUGGUGGUUCAACCACUUUCUAAGUCACAUAGUGAGUUCCUUUGGGACACCUAUGAAACAGACUAUGACAAGACCCUUAAUGAUCUUAUCUAUUUGCUAAGAUCAACUUCCUAAAACUUUAUGGACAUUGACAAUGAUGACAUUGGAUAUCCAGUAAAGCAUUCUCUUCCCAAUGGAAAGGGAUCGGCCAUAGUCAACUCGGUUGACCAAAUGGUAAAGAGAAAAGCUAAGUCUGUGAUAGUCCCGUGUACCAUUAUCAAAGGGUCCAUAUGUUUAUAUUGCCAAAGGAAGGGGCAUUGGUUGCGAAGCUGCCAAAUUUACCUAAGGAUGUUAAAGUCAAUAAGUUUGACUCUACUUCAGGUAAAGUCCACUAUCUAACUCUGUUAAGUUUCUAUUCUGAGAUUCUUGAUACAUGAUGUGACUGGGUCACAUGGUGAUGUUUUAAGAAUCAAAGAAAAGUGAAGAAACUUAAAGAAAGAAUAUGCUGAAUCUGAUGGCGUAGAUGGAUUUCUAUCGCAUAGUUUGAAGAUCGGAUUCUUGAGCUACUUCUUAGGAGUUAUGAGAUAUUGCUUAGGAAUAGAUAACAACAAGUUUUCAUAUGGAUUGUAAGGAUAAGUUUUUCCGCAAAGUUUUAAAAUAAAAGAAAAUUUUUUUGAUUUUAUUUAUUUUAAAAUAUCCUUACAAUGGCUUUUGAGGAAAAAUUGUUGCUUAUAUGAUUCCAUUAAGAGCAAGAGUGGAAAUAUGAAAUUGAUUCUUUCAUUUGUGGUAAUGUCUAGAUUUACCAAAUAAGGAAAGAUUCUCAUCACCCAAGUUUCAAUUGGACCGGAACUUGGAAUCAUGCAAGUUGUAUAGCAUGAUGAAUGAGAACUUUCAAGUUUUGGAAAAUUAAGACUAAUUACUUGUUCACAUGGAUGUGUGAGUCAAGUAAAGGACUAAGGGAUCGAGUACACAUUCUUGUGCACUGAUUAAGUCCACCACUAAAGAUCGAUAAGAAGAAUCAAAUAAGGCAGAAGGAUAAAAGUUUCUCAAAUCUGAAAAGAUGGGAGAGUACUUUAGUAUCAGUUUUGUGAUCAUCUUAAUGAUUAAGAAACCAUAUCAAAAUUAGUUCUCUAAGGAAAUCUUAGUGCAUUCUUAUGACUAAGAAGAGGAACUUGAAUUGUUGAAAUGGUUAAAUCAAGAAGAUGAGUCAUACUUCGUUCCAAUACAAGUCUUAGAGUCAUACUCCAAGAUUGUCAUUUGAGUGACAUGUCUUAAAGAAGGUUUAAAACACUUGUCAAAUGUAAGAGUAAAAGUUUUCUACUCUUGUACAUUUGAAAUUGGUAAGUUGUGAUGUUUUGGAUAAAACAAAGACCAACUUAGGCCAAUUGGGUAAAGUGUUUUUCUUGAUUAGAAUCCGCACUAUCUCUUGGAUGUUUGACAAGGGAGUCUUAUAUGUCAAGAGGACAGUGGGAGUCUUAAAGGUCUUGAAAGUCUCAAGAAAUAAUCAAGAAUAAAACCUAAAGUUCUUCACUAGCACACGACUUGAGGUUUAUAACCUAUCGUGUUGACAUAUCUGUGCCCAUUCCAGUUAAAGUUGGCUUUGCAUAUGAGUUCUUAGAGUUCUCAGUUUGUUGCAUAACAACUUGGAAGCAAUGGCAGGCCCUUGAGCUGCCAGGUGGCAAGAAGUUAAGAUUGAGUUCAAUCCAUAUGGUUUUGGAUUUGUCAUUAUCUUUGUCUUGUGAUUAUGGUUUGACAAAUUCAUAUGGGUAGGAACUCAUACACCAUAUAAAUCUAAGUGUCAUAAGGUUUCUCUCCGAUUCAUGAAAAUGAUGGUGAGGAAACGCUUUCACUAAGUAGAUUUUACGAAGAUAUCAAUUGUGUUAUUUGCAUUUUCAAAAGUCGUUAGUGGAGCGCGUGUGGUUAACCGGCACACUAACAUGGACUUGUGAGAAAUGGCAAAUGCCUAAGCAAUUGAGACCAUGAUUACGGUAUCCCUUUUCAUGGUUCUUGAAAUUGCUUAGACACACAGGUGAGCUAUCUACGGAAAGGGUGUAUGAAUCUAAAUUUCAGACUGUCCAGCUGAUUUCUGAGUACAUGUCAAAGCUAGUGGGAGCAUAAGUGUUAUGCUAAUAAUCAUCAUGUUAGUGGGAGCAUGAUAAUUAUGAUAAGUAUUGCAAGUUAGCAAUGUUAAUUAUAGAAAACAAAAGUUUCAAUUGGGAAAAAGUUGUUUUGCUAUAAUUAAGGGAGAGGAAAUUAUGCUUCAUCUCAAAUCUAUAAGCUUAGAUCGUGAGGUUUUAAUCAUUUAGUCAAGGAUAUAUAUGAAUUUCAUGUUGGAAUGGCUCAACAUAAGGAAAUUCUGUAUAUGGGUCCAUUAUUUGCGUUCUAAAAUUCGAUUAUGAUUACGGCAUCCCUUUUCAUAAUCUGAAUUAUGAGAACUUGGCAAAUUGAAAUGGAAAUAUUAUAGCAAAAGACUGGUUUAGUCUUUAUGUAAGACAUCAUGAAUCGUGUCCCAUAUGCUUCGGAUAUAGGAUCGAUUACAUGUGCUAUAUUCAUCCGUUCUAAAAUUUUCCAAAUGCCUGGGGCAUUAAGAAGGGAAAAGGUUUAGAACUGGAUAUGACUAAAAGGAUUAAACAAUUGUCGAGGACAAUCUAAGGUUUACCAAAGAUUGGUUACUCAAGGACAAUUGGAAGUAUAGUGAUAAUUCUGGAAGGACCAUAUUGACAUAAUCUGUAAGGAGGCAACUCUUGUUCAGAAGUGAUAGUCAAAAUGGAAUCUGGAAAUGUUUCAAAGUUAGAAUUUUCAAUCUGUGUAAGAUUAAGGAAACUUAAUGCAAGAAGGAUAUUUCCAAGGAGUUGAUCUCCUUUGGAAUACUCUGUAAUGAUUGUUGCCAAGUCUUUGUGACUUUGUGCAUAAUCAUUACAAGAGGAUCAAUGCAUAUAAGUUUAGAAUCUAACAGAUUUCAGUAAAUGGCAUGAAUUUGGAAUUCUUGCAUUUGCAGUAAGGAUUUGGGAGUGUGAAAAGAGAAUCAUUGAAGUUAUGUUCAAUUGAUCUAGUUCACAAAGUAAAGAUCAUAGACAAACAUAGUAUGCAUACUUGGUGUGUGGCAUGACUAGUGUUUAAGAAAACAUAGUGUACAUGCUUGGAGCAUGGGACAACUAUUGUUUUAAAUUCAAGAAUAAAGUUGAUAGCUGAAACAGUAUACAAUGAAUAAUGUGUAAUCAUAUGGUGAUAAAUAAAAGGUGUUUUAUUUAUGUUCAAAGGGUUGAUACCAUAUUGGAUUCAAUUAUUAUUGUGUUUCAUUUUGCAUGUUUUGACUUCCCGAAUAAACUGGGUUAUUCUUCCGGAAUGACUAAGUUAUUCAAACCAUCCACAGUCGGUCAUAUGUUGGAAGUAGAUAUGAAUUAAGACUGUCAUGGGUUGGCUUGUAGAGGUCUAAGGUGUUGGACAAAGGGCUACAACACUCAUGAGUGCUCAUAAGUUCUGAGUAUUGGAUUCAACCCGCGCUCAUUGGAAUCACUUCAUGGAUUUUAUCACGAGUGAUCAUGAGACGAUAAUAUCUUAUAUUCUUCAAACCUAGAGAUAUGAGUUGUUACUAUGAGUUGAUAGUACAUUGAUUGCACGAAAACGCAUUUGGUAACUCGGUGCUAUAAAACGUGCCUUUGUGUAUGAUUCAACAAGUAGUAGAACAAGCCAUAUGAGUCGAAGUUUAUCCAUUCCUUUUACCUUCGGGAUAAAAGCGAUAUCUGUGGGCCCCUCGAUGAUUUGAUGAUGACAUAUGGAAGUGCUUGGCCGGGCCAUGACUGUUUUGAUUUGUUCAAUUAGUCAGUCGUCAUAAAUCGGAAAUCGGGAAACAACAAAUGGACAGAGAGAAUGAUUAUAAUCCAUGUCUCAGUCCAUAUGAUAUCUAGAAUGGAGGAAU